rnacentral:rRNA from 1 species
GGAGGGAGCUAGCGUUGUUCGGAAUCACUGGGCGUAAAGGGCGCGUAGGCGGUCGAGUAAGUCGUGUGUGAAAGACCGGGGCUCAACUCCGUGUACUGCAUGCGAUACUGCCCGGCUAGAGAAAGGUAGAGGCGAGUGGAAUUCCCGGUGUAGCGGUGGAAUGCGUAGAUAUCGGGAAGAACACCUGUGGCGAAGGCGGCUCGCUGGGCCUUUUCUGACGCUGAAGUGCGAAAGCGUGGGGAGCAAACAGGAUUAGAUACCCUGGUAGUCCACGCCGUAAACGAUGGGCACUAGGCGUUGGGAGGAUUGACCCUCUCAGUGCCGUAGCUAACGCGUUAAGUGCCCCCGCCUGGGGAUACGGCCGCAAGGCUG